GUUCUCCACGUGCCCCGGGUUCUCCAGGUGACCCAGGUGGGCCUUUAGGACCAGGAGGACCAAAAAGCUGACUGUAGCCCACAGGAGCCAUGAGGCAGAAGGUUGUCAGCUGAAUAGAAAAAAUAUCAACCUUGGUCAAAUAUAUUUAACCAUUAAAGCUGGUAACUGAAAUAGCAGGACUGAUCACACCAACCAGUCCCAGCUGGUCUGCCAGCCUUCUGGCACUGCCCACCA